rnacentral:lncRNA from 1 species
GGUUGUAACUUGAUCUUUAUUGAUAACUAGAAAAAGUAUUACAACUCAAGUAACAUUUUUAACAAUCACACGAUCUAGAAUAUUUAAACAAACCGAACAGAUGUGAUGUGUAAAUGAAAGAACACAACUCUUAAUCUAAAAGACACAACCUUAAAACAGAGUAUUUGUGCCUCUUGAUCAAGUAACUAACUAAUGUGAAUAUAACUAACUUAUACGAGAUUUUGAUUAUAAUUCAACAUGCUUGACAACUACCCUGUAUAGCAACGGUGCAUCACCGUCUUAUCUGACGGAUGCGGUCUCCAAAGAAAUACCACCAAUAGAUCUUUAUCUUAUUUGGUGGGGCGACAUACACGCAUAUGUGCCUUUUUAUCAACAAUACCCUAGACGGAUGCGUUCACGGCUGCGUUCUAUUUAUAUGCUCUUCAGGAGCAAGAACCCUAAGCUCCUCAAGCUUGGGCUUCUAUUUACAACAGGUCCACGUG